GAACGCACAUUGCGCCCGCCAGUAUUCUGGCGGGCAUGCCUGUCCGAGCGUCAUUUCAACCCUCAAGCCCCCGGGCUUGGUGUUGGAGAUCGGCGAGCCCCCCGGGGCGCGCCGUCUCCCAAAUAUAGUGGCGGUCCCGCUGUAGCUUCCUCUGCGUAGUAGCACACCUCGCACUGGGAAACAGCGUGGCCACGCCGUAAAACCCCCCACUUCUGAAAGGUUGACCUCGGAUCAGGUAGGAAUACCCGCUGAACUUA
rnacentral:misc_RNA from 1 species